rnacentral:rRNA from 1 species
AGUAAUACAUCGGAACGUGUCCUGUAGUGGGGGAUAGCCCGGCGAAAGCCGGAUUAAUACCGCAUACGAUCUGUGGAUGAAAGCGGGGGAUCGAAAGACCUCGCGCUACAGGGGCGGCCGAUGGCAGAUUAGCUAGUUGGUGGGGUAAAGGCCUACCAAGGCGACGAUCUGUAGCUGGUCUGAGAGGACGACCAGCCACACUGGGACUGAGACACGGCCCAG